rnacentral:rRNA from 1 species
UGGGGAAUAUUGCACAAUGGGCGCAAGCCUGAUGCAGCCAUGCCGCGUGUGUGAAGAAGGCCUUCGGGUUGUAAAGCACUUUCAGCGGGGAGGAAGGCGAUAAGGUUAAUAACCUCAUCGAUUGACGUUACCCGCAGAAGAAGCACCGGCUAACUCCGUGCCAGCAGCCGCGGUAAUACGGAGGGUGCAAGCGUUAAUCGGAAUUACUGGGCGUAAAGCGCACGCAGGCGGUCUGUCAAGUCGGAUGUGAAAUCCCCGGGCUCAACCUGGGAACUGCAUUCGAAACUGGCAGGCUAGAGUCUUGUAGAGGGGGGUAGAAUUCCAGGUGUAGCGGUGAAAUGCGUAGAGAUCUGGAGGAAUACCGGUGGCGAAGGCGGCCCCCUGAACAAAGACUGACGCUCAGGUGCGAAAGCGUGGGGAGCAAACAGG